rnacentral:rRNA from 1 species
AGAGCGAACGCUGGCGGCAGGCUUAACACAUGCAAGUCGAGCGGGCGUAGCAAUACGUCAGCGGCAGACGGGUGAGUAACGCGUGGGAACGUACCUUUUGGUUCGGAACAACCCAGGGAAACUUGGGCUAAUACCGGAUAAGCCCUUACGGGGAAAGAUUUAUCGCCGAAAGAUCGGCCCGCGUCUGAUUAGCUAGUUGGUGAGGUAAUGGCUCACCAAGGCGACGAUUAGUAGCUGGUCUGAGAGGAUGAUCAGCCACAUUGGGACUGAGACACGGCCCAAACUCCUACGGGAGGCAGCAGUGGGGAAUAUUGGACAAUGGGCGCAAGCCUGAUCCAGCCAUGCCGCGUGAGUGAUGAAGGCCCUAGGGUUGUAAAGCUCUUUUGUGCGGGAAGAUAAUGACGGUACCGCAAGAAUAAGCCCCGGCUAACUUCGUGCCAGCAGCCGC